rnacentral:rRNA from 1 species
GACGAACGCUGGCGGCGUGCUUAACACAUGCAAGUCGAGCGGUAAGGCCCUUUCGGGGGUACACGAGCGGCGAACGGGUGAGUAACACGUGGGUGACCUGCCCUCAGCUCUGGGAUAAGCCUGGGAAACUGGGUCUAAUACUGGAUAUGACUCCACGGUGCAUGUCGUGGGGUGGAAAGCCUUGUGCGGCUAGAGAUGGGCCCGCGGCCUAUCAGCUUGUUGGUGGGGNGAUGGCCUACCAAGGCGACGACGGGUAGCCGGCCUGAGAGGGCGACCGGCCACACUGGGACUGAGACACGGCCCAGACUCCUACGGGAGGCAGCAGUGGGGAAUCCUGCGCAAUGGGCGAAAGCCUGACGCAGCGACGCCGCGU